AUGAACGCUAGCUACAGGCUUAACACCUGCAAGUCGAGGGGAAACGACAUCGAAAGCUUGCUUUUGAUGGGCGUCGACCGGCGCACGGGUGCGUAACGCGUAUCCAACCUGCCCACCACUUGGGGAUAACCUUGCGAAAGUAAGACUAAUACCCAAUGAUAUCUCUAGAAGACAUCUGAAAGAGAUUAAAGAUUUAUCGGUGAUGGAUGGGGAUGCGUCUGAUUAGCUUGUUGGCGGGGUAACGGCCCACCAAGGCAACGAUCAGUAGGGGUUCUGAGAGGAAGGUCCCCCACAUUGGAACUGAGACACGGUCCAAACUCCUACGGGAGGCAGCAGUGAGGAAGAUUGGUCAAUGGACGAGAGUCUGAACCAGCCAAGUAGCGUGCAGGAAGACGGCCCUAUGGGUUGUAAACUGCUUUUAUAAGGGAAUAAAGUGAGUCUCGUGAGACUUUUUGCAUGUACCUUAUGAAUAAGGACCGGCUAAUUCCGUG
rnacentral:rRNA from 1 species